rnacentral:rRNA from 1 species
UACAGAGGGUGCGAGCGUUAAUCGGAAUUACUGGGCGUAAAGCGUGCGUAGGCGGUUCUCCAAGUCCGUUGUGAAAGCCCCGGGCUCAACCUGGGAAUGGCAGUGGAAACUAGGGGACUGGAAUCUGGCAGAGGGGGGUGGAAUGCCGCGUGUAGCAGUGAAAUGCGUAGAGAUGCGGCGGAACACCGAUGGCGAAGGCAGCCCCCUGGGUUAACACUGACGCUCAUGCACGAAAGCGUGGGGAGCAAACAGG